GAGACGGGUUGACGGGUUGUACACGGGUUGACACGACCCGUUUAAUAAACGGGUUAGAUAGGUAUUAUAACGGGUUAGCGGGUUGACCCGAAACCCACCCGUUUAUUAAACGGGUCAGAACGGGUUGACCCGAAAUUGACCCGUUUUUUUAUCGUGCGGGUUGAACCCGCUAAUUUCUCGUGCGGGUUUCGAGUCGUGUAUCGGGUCGUAUCCGAAAUUGCCACCCCUACUUAUCGUUCCCUCUAUAACCAGCCCCCUCUUCCUCUUCCUCUCCUCACUUCUUUUCUUCCUUUUCUUUAUUCGUUCUUUGGUUCCAUAUCAUAUAUGGCUGGUAAGAAUUUGUUUCGAUUUUUCUUUUAAAGAAGUUUUUGCCAUUUUAUUUAUAUCAUAAAUCUGGGAUAUUUAUACCAUUUAAAAUCUACUACUAUUACUGUUAAUAGUUUUUUCUUAUAUUUUUCUUUUUAUCCAUACCAUUGUUGGCUCACUUAGAUCUGGAUUUUUGUGUGUUUUGAAGGUGAUUAUCUGCUACUUAGGUCUGGAGUUUUUUUCUUUGUUUGUGUGCUCUUGAAAUUGAAGGCUCAAAGCAUGAGCUAAGGUUGAAGGUGUGAUUUAUUAUUAUUAUUUUUUUAACUCUUUAGUUGCAUUGAAAUAUUGUCUCCUACAAUUUUAAUUUGAUUAUAUUUUUUUUUGCGUGUAUGUGAAGGUUUGAUGAAGACGCAUAACUUUUAUUUAGGUUUGAUUUUUCUGAUGGGUUGUUCAUACAAAAUACACAACCGUUUAAAGUUGGUGGCGGUGGUGCUCGGAGAGAGAGAGAGAGAAAAGGUGGUUUAGGUUUUUUUUGGCAAUUAAUUUUUUUUUUCAUAAAUAAAUACUUUGGGCACGAAUGAAUAAUUGGUGUGCAUGUAUAAAAGUGAAAUCGGAUGCAGCAGUCAAUGUGUCAGAACAACCACUUCCGUGCUCAAAAGUAUUGAGCAUAGGACACGAAAAAAGUAAUUUGUGCUUAAUGAACAAUGAAACUCCUAUACAGGAAAUCGACCAACUUGUUGUGGUUGCACCGUGGCUGUUAACAAAGAGCACAAAUAAUUGUGACUUUUACAUUAAAGAGCACAAAUAAUAUUGGUGCCUAAAGUCUGAUAUUAUAGUCAUUGGCGGACCCAAUACAUGCUUACUGUGGGCAGCUGCCCACAUUUAAGUGGUUUCUUCACCCAUCUAGCCAAACACUUUGUCUAUAAAAAUUAGACACUUGGCUAAUAUUUUGCAUGCAAAAUCCCCACUCAGC
rnacentral:lncRNA from 1 species